UACGAAGGAGGCUAGCGUUGCUCGGAAUCACUGGGCGUAAAGCGCACGUAGGCGGCUUUUUAAGUCAGGGGUGAAAUCCUGGAGCUCAACUCCAGAACUGCCUUUGAUACUGAGAAGCUUGAGUCCGGGAGAGGUGAGUGGAACUGCGAGUGUAGAGGUGAAAUGCGUAGAUAUCGGAAGGAACACCAGUGGCGAAAGCGACUUCCUGGUCCAAUACUGACGUUCAUGUGCGAAAGCGUGGGGAGCAAACAGG
rnacentral:rRNA from 1 species